UUAACUUCAGAACAAAGCUUUCAAGUUGUCAUUAUUUUCACAGGUGGCGCCAGGUCGAUACAGGGCGACUGCUUUGUUUACGUUGCAGAUAUGGGCGACCAACCUUGGCUGUAUGUGACGCACACCCAGAAAAGUUGGAGUUGCUGGUUACCCAUACCGCCAAUGCGGUUGGAGGAAAAAGGCCCGGUGUGACACCAGCUUACGGACGACCGAUAACUCGCUCUAGGUUGGGUGUACGGGUAACCGUAGUUGUCUGUAGCCCCAACGGUUGAAGGAAAUCAGUCAGUGAGACACCGCCUUAACCCCUUCACUCCGGCGACGGCGACGUCGGUGUCCGACGGGCGUCCGAAGGCGUCACAGUUAGUCCCCUUCAAAACCUCUUAAUCCUCUUCCAUUUCCUCUUAAUCCCUUUCUAAACCUCUUAAGAGGAAAUGGAAGAGGAUCAAGAGGAAUUUAGAGGAGGAUUGAGAGGUUUAGAAGAGGAUUAAUCCUCUUCCAUUUCCUCUUGACCCUUUCCGUACUGUGACACCGACGUCUGUGUCAUGGAUGGAAAGGGUUAAGGCAGCGAGGCUGCUGAUUGGGUGAGCGCUGUCGAUGAUGUCAUCAGGCUCACAGUAAAUCACAAACGUGUUUUCAAAAACUGCCAGCCAAUCGCAAGGCAGCCACCUUCAAUUGGGGCUUCAAAACGAUCAGUUCUCACUUCCCAUUUUCCUCCUUUUACCAAGGUACAUAUUUUGAGAUAACAAGGGAGUAAAAUCGAAAAAAAAGGCCUCACUGGUCGGAACCAAUAAGCGUUUUUCCAGUGUUUUCAAUACCACGAGUUUCGUAAUCCUCGAAUUUAGUGCUAUACCUUCGGAACGAAGCAAGCUUGAAACUCGGGAGGGUACUGUAGAAACAUUGUAGUUAGUGGGAUAUCAAUGAAAUGGUAGUUGUAGAAUUUGAUACCAGUCAAUAAAUGCAUUAGUUAGUAGGGCCCAAUUCUCCCUGUAUAAGGGUAUGGAUGGCAGUCAAAAUAUUGCAUAUUUCUAAAAUUUUCUACAAGCAGUGAUUUUUUAUGCUGUUUAAGCCUAAACGCAAAGCACUAGUGCGAAAUUAGUAAACUUCAAUAUACAAGCAGUAAGAAUGAAACUACUUUUCAUGAUUUAAGGGUAUUCAAAUCAUCUUGAAUCCUGAUGGUGAUUGUUGUGAAGCCAUUGAAAGUGUCAGCAGAGUAUUGUUUUUGCUUGAAUUUCUUAUUGACUUCACACACACACACACACACACACACACACACACACGCACACACACACACACACACAUAGCUGAUAAAAUGCUCUGAAGGGAUAAAGGAAAGCACAGAUUCAGUGGAAAAGUUGAAUAAAGAGUGGAAUAAGUGGGAGAAGAAUCGAAAGGAUGAUAAAGUGGAAGUGGAGCAAAGAGUUAAGAUUUUGGAACAAAAAGUUGACAGUGGUGGAGAGAUGAUGCAAAGUGGGAGUGUGCAGAGCUAGAAUGUCAUUGUGUUUGGUGUCAAGGAGAAGAAGACCCCCAAGCAAAUCUGCGAGGGAAAACAACUAGAGAGAUGUAGUGAAGAAGGUUGUGCAGAGGGUACAAGAAGAGGGAAGAGACCUGACGAAAGAAAUAGAUGACUGUCAUAGGAUUGGAAAAUACAAUGGCAAAAGAGAUAGACCAUUUAGGAUAUGAUUUAAGGCACAGAGUGAAGCAGAAGAGGCCCUGGCAGGAGCUUGGAAGCUAGCGGGAGAAGAAGACACCAAAGUGAUGUGGCUGAGAAAAGAUCUGAAUGAACAAGAGAAAAGUUGAAUGAACUUAGAGGUGAGGUUCGUAAUUUAAAUGAGAAGAAAUUGGAAGAAGAGAAGGAUUUUUUUGGAGAGUAAUGGAUAUGAAAGUGAGAAAGUGAUUCAGAGGAUCGAGAGGAAGGAGGGAACGAAACUAAUAGAAAAGGAGGAAGGGUGGAAAGUGUCAUAUACAAAUAUUAAUGGAAUAGUUUCAUCGUGGAUAGAGUUUAACGACUAUUUGAGAGACAAAGAACCUGAUAUUGUGGGGCUGUCGGAAACUAAAUUGUGUGACCCAAUUGAGGUGGUGGAGAUUGGAGAAGGUGCAUACAACAUAUGGAGGGGAGACCAAAAGAUAAAACAGGGAAGAGGUGUUAUGUUGAUGGUAAAGAAAGGCAUUAGGGUGGAGGAGGUGAUUGAGGGUGAAGGCUUGGCAGAAGUAUUGAAAGUGAAAAUUGUGGGUGCUGAAGGAAGGAGGCAGUACGUAAUAGGGUAUGUGCCACCAAGAACAAGUACAUGGAAGGUCCGAGAAUAUGAACAAAUGAUACAAGACACAGUGAGUUGCCUGGAUGGAAUGUUGAGAGAGAGUGAGAGAAUAAUUAUAAUGGGUGAUUUCAAUUGCAAGGAGGUAGAAUGGGAGGAUUGGCAGAUGCAGGGAGCAGAAGAGUCAUGGGGAGGAAGACUCCUGCAACUGGCAAUGGAACAUGUGCUGACUCAGUGGAUUAAGGAACAUACCAGAUUCGGGAAAGAUGGCGAGGCAUCAAGACUAGACCUGGUAUUUAGCAAGGAGCAGGAAAUAAUAGAAAAUCUUGAAGUAGAUUGUCCAAUAGCAAAGAGUGACCAUGCAGUUUUGGAAUUUGAAAUAAGAGAAAAGAGAAUGACAGAAGAGUCUCCAGUUUUCCCUCUCCAAACACACAUUUCUCACACAUAUAAAUCCUCUUUCACCCCUCUCUUUCAUGUAUUCCUCAACUCUAUCCUCCCAACUCACUGGGUUUUUUCCUAUUACACCUGUCCCCUUGAUAUUACUCAUAUAGAUUCAAUAGAGUCAAUAGCCGCAUUCUACGAUUUUUUUAAAGUCGACUAAUUGCUAUAAUCGUAAUUAAUAUUUCCCUCAGGUUAAAUUUCCCCGCUGGAAUCCUUAAAUUUCCCCCAGGUUGGGAAAUGCUGAUCUAGAACAUCAGUUAAAUCAGUGGAGGUGUCAAGACUACACUCAGCACGCACACGACGAGCAGAAACUAAAGGAAGACCGCCAAAACAGAUCGGCUGAGGGAACGUAAUCGCUCUGCAGAUGCCAUGAUGCGUAGGCAGGAACUGUAGACUAUUUUUUAGCACGGAGUCGUCUAAGGGGCAAAAGAGGUGCCACUUAGUCACUUAGCAUCGACAUAUACAUAGUUACACACGCUGUUCAAUUUCCAGAGAGCUUCUUGGUCUCCGGCGCUAACGUCAUGCUCGUCGCCCACGUCCGAAAAAAACUAUAUGACGCCAGCGGCAUAGGCGUCGUUAAGGGGUUAAGGCCAAGUUGGAUAAUGGUAGAUAUAGAUACAAGACAGUAUGAUCAUAGAUCCUCUCCCGUAUACAACAAUUAGAUAAAUACAACUACAGUAAAACCUCACCAUUUGCGCGGCCUUAAUUUGAGGCCAUCAUCCCACCAUUUGCGCAGGGGUCUUGCCAUUUGUGCACCUCUCCGCUAUGGUAACGGCGUCUCACUGGCAGCAAAAUGGCGUCCGCUGAUCUGAGGACGUUUACUAGCUGUUUUGGCAGCAAAAUGGCGCCCAUUGAUCUUCUGAGGACGUUUUCUAGCUGUUCUGGCAGCAAAAUGGCGUCCGCUGAUCUUGAGGACGUUUACUAGCUGUUCUGGCAGCAAAAUGGCGUCCGCUGAUCUUGAGGACGUUUACUAGCUGUUCUGGCAGCAAAAUGGCGUCCGCUGAUCAUCUGAGGACGUUUACUAGCUGUUCUGGCAGCAAAAUGGCAUCCGCUGAUCAUCUGAGGACGUUUACUAGCUGUUCUGGCAGCAAAAUGGCGUCCGCUGAUCAUCUGAGGACGUUUACUAGCUGUUCUGGCAGCAAAAUGGCAUCAGCUGAUCAUCUGAGGACGUUUACUUGCUGUUCUGGCAGGAAAAUGGCGUCCGCUGAUCUGAUGACGUUUACUAGCUGUUCUGGCAGCAAAAUGGCGUCCGCUGAUCUGAUGACGUUUACUAGCUGUUCUGGCAGCAAAAUGGCGUUCGCUGGCGAGCUACAGCUGUCUACCACCCGCGCGCUCUCUGCCGCCAGUGAAGAACACUGCUAACGUACACAACAUGUCGUUUCCCGCCAUAACCCGAUCGCCUCUCCUCGUCUCGUGGUGACUGCGAUUAUUCAAUGUCUUCUGCCUCAUCUUUGCACCACCAUCAUGCUGCAAGCAGCGUCAUCGAAGCCUAAACCCCGGAAGAACCCGAUAAUGACCAUAGCACAGGUGGAAGUGAUUAAAAAGAUGGACAGUGGAAGAAAAAAGCGAGAGAUUGGCCGUGAGUAUGAUGUGUUUCCUGCCAGCAGACCUUUUAUUUUUAAUUAAUUAUUAUUAUUAUUAUUUUUUUUUUCUUUGGCUGGCAGGGGGAGGGGGGUUGGGCCGGGACCGCCCAUAUGUAUUUUUUCCAUUUGCGCACCUUCAGACCGCCCAUAUGUGCGCAAAUGGUGAAGUUUGACUGUAGGUAAAUACACACACUCUCCGUAGUGCAAUGGUUAGCACACUCGACUCACCACUGAGAAAUCCUGGGUUCAAUCCCCCGGCAGACUGGAGAAGGAUGGGCGAUCUCCUUACACCCACACCCCUGUCCACCUAGCAGUGAAUGGGUACAUACACACAUACCUCCCCCACAAACAGUAAUUCACAUACACACAUAACCCCUCCCUCCCCCCCCCCCCCCCCACACAAACACAGUAAUUCACAUACACACAUACCCCCCUCCCCACACCCACACCCACACACUAAUUCACAUACACACAUACCCCCCCCCCCCCCCACACACACAGUAAUUCACAUACACACAUGUUUUGUCACAAACAGCCUCGUAAGGACCAGCAGGUCUGCUGUUGUUUGUUCUUCCUUUGUUUUUAUUUGUGUUCCCUCCCCCCCCCCCCCCACACACACACACACUUGUCAUUAGAAAUAGGUUUUUUAAGCCUUUCCAAUAUAUUAGUACUUAUUUAUAUCCUCAUAUCUCAUUAGUACAUCUUAACAUAAAAUAAACAUACUUUCAUCUUUAAGUAGUGUACUUAAAAAAAAAAAGGAUGGCUACAAAACCAUGAGUGAGUCAGAUGAUGUGUUCCACGUAAAUCAUGUAGUUCCAUGGAAUCGCAUUUUGUAGAUGUUGCUUUGUUAUUUUCAUUUUACAUAUGAAACAUCCAUAUAUUUAAUCCACAUUGUUUUGGGGAACCAUUUUAUUACUAUCAAAAGAGAAAGUUUUCUGGCUUAUGUUUGAAAUAUAAAUAUGCUUGUACAUGUACAUUAAAAUGUGUGUAUUUACAGACAUUGUGCUACUUGAUAUACAAUUAUUAUGUUUAUGAUUUUUUUUCUAGGCUACUCUAUGAGUAACUGGGGCCUUGAUACUGAGGUGAUGCUGGAGUAACGAACUGUGCCAGGGACAGAUGAAAUGGGUACCUUGUGUCAUAGCAUUUAUUAUGAUGGAAAGGCCCACUGUCAAAUUAAUGUAGAAUAUCAGCCCAAACAUUUUUUUAUUACCUUAGAAAAGGUGAAUAUUCAAUAAAGGCAUCAUUAUUUUUUUAAUAAAUUUAACAAAGCAUUUUAA